ACUUUAAAAGUUUACUCGGGCCGGGACGCAGGGCAAAGCGAGCCAUGGCUGUCUACGUCGGGAUGCUGCGCCUGGGGAGGCUGUGCGCCGGGAGCUCGGGGGUGCUGGGGGCCCGGGCCGCCCUCUCUCGGAGUUGGCAGGAAGCCAGGUUGCAGGGUGUCCGCUUCCUCAGUUCCAGAGAGGUGGAUCGCAUGGUCUCCAUGCCCAUCGGAGGCCUCAGCUAUGUUCAGGGGUGCACCAAAAAGCAUCUUAACAGCAAGACUGUGGGCCAGUGCCUGGAGACCACAGCACAGAGGGUCCCAGAACGAGAGGCCUUGGUCGUCCUCCAUGAAGACGUCAGGUUGACCUUUGCCCAACUCAAGGAGGAGGUGGGUCCUGACCUGGAAACCUCAAAGUGGACAAGUACUAGCUCCCAAGCUGCCCUAGCUGGGCAGAACCAGGAGCGUGGGCACCUGGCUAUGGGGCAAUGUGCUAGGGCUGCCAGAGAACCCCAAGGGAUGGCAGGAGAAGGAGACAGGACUGAGGCAUAAGGGGUCCAAUGCUU
rnacentral:sRNA from 1 species